rnacentral:rRNA from 1 species
UGGGGAAUUUUGGACAAUGGGCGAAAGCCUGAUCCAGCAAUGCCGCGUGUGUGAAGAAGGCCUUCGGGUUGUAAAGCACUUUUGUCCGGAAAGAAAAUCCUUGGCUCUAAUACAGUCGGGGGAUGACGGUACCGGAAGAAUAAGCACCGGCUAACUACGUGCCAGCAGCCGCGGUAAUACGUAGGGUGCAAGCGUUAAUCGGAAUUACUGGGCGUAAAGCGUGCGCAGGCGGUUUGCUAAAGACCGAUGUGAAAUCCCCGGGCUCAACCUGGGAACUGCAUUGGUGACUGGCAGGCUAGAGUAUGGCAGAGGGGGGUAGAAUUCCACGUGUAGCAGUGAAAUGCGUAGAGAUGUGGAGGAAUACCGAUGGCGAAGGCAGCCCCCCUGGGCCAAUACUGACGCUCAUGCACGAAAGCGUGGGGAGCAAAACAGGAUUAGAUACCCUGGUAGUCCACGCCCUAAAACGAUGUCAACUAGUUGUUGGGGAUUCAUUUCCUUAGUAACGUAGCUAACGCGUGAAGUUGACCGCCUGGGGAGUACAGUCGCAAGAUUAAAACUUAAAUGAAUUGAC